UACGUAGGGUGCAAGCGUUGUCCGGAAUUAUUGGGCGUAAAGAGCUCGUAGGCGGUUUGUCGCGUCUGCUGUGAAAACUCGGGGCUUAACUCCGGGCCUGCAGUGGGUACGGGCAGACUAGAGUGCGGUAGGGGAGACUGGAAUUCCUGGUGUAGCGGUGAAAUGCGCAGAUAUCAGGAGGAACACCGGUGGCGAAGGCGGGUCUCUGGGCCGUAACUGACGCUGAGACACGAAAGCGUGGGUAGCAAACAGG
rnacentral:rRNA from 1 species